UCUGACUCAUAUUUUAAAAUCUCUCUUUGGUUGCUGUGUAAACAACAGACUGGAGAGAGGCCAAGAGCACAAGCAGAAAAACCAGCCAGGGUGCUAUUUCAGCAGUCUAGGUGGAGAGUCAUGGUGACUUGGACCCAUCCAACAGAGACGAAGACAACUAAAUGGAUUCAGGAUAUAUUCUAGAGAUAAUACAGAAAAUCACCUCUAUUUCAUAAUGAGACUACUGAGACAAGUUAUGUGGAAAACUAUUCUGCUUAGCAAACCCCACUUUGAUGCUCUCUCUUCUGUAGAUCUAGAGAUAACGAGUCCUAACUCUUUGCCAAGGAUAUGGCAAAGACUCUGAUGGAAAAGGCAGUAAUGUGUACACAAAGGUGAACAUAAAUAAAUGUGUGUAUGAUAAACGCUGGGAAUGGACAUAGAAAAACGGGUAUGCAAUUGGACAGAGACGACGGGAGACAGAAGGAAAGAUACUUGCUCAGCUGUAUCUAAGUAAGUUCAUAGGAGUUUCAUGGUCUGAAAAAUCUGUGACAGUGGAAUUUCUACUAAGAAGCUUAAAAAAGUUUCACCUUCUCCUUGGACACUUCAGAAUAAGGCCUUCUUAGAAUAUAAUGCAUUAUAUCACAAAUAUACUUUUAUAUAAAAUAUUUGGGACCAAAACAAGAGUAAAGAACCAGGAUCCGAAAGGGUGAAUGCCUACUAAAUAUCUUUGAUUAUCUAAAGCUGUUUAAAAGCUAUUAGAUUGGCACCUGGAACCCCAAAAUAUCCACUUUUCACUGGGAAGGAGUGGCUGUGCCUCUUCAAUCAUCCCCUAAAUGCAAAGAAGUUUGACCCCCACGCAAUGGAUAAAAGUCACCCAAAAAAUGAACAAAAGAGGUGUUUGGAAAAACCAGAACACCAUUCAUCCCAGCUAACGACUUGUUCAUUAUGAGUGAUGAUGGAUAAAGACUUCUCAUGCUGAGAUGAAAUCAAGAUUUAUAUGCAUUGUUUCCUCUCCCAACUUGUGGGAAGAUCAUCAUCAUUUAAUUCUAUCUCUGCGGCCAGUGAUGGGCAUCCAGAGAGCUGGUUAUCAAACGGCGCAGUCAGCUGGCAAAAGCCGAAACGUGCAGUUGGCACAUCUGGACGGAGCCGCCACAGCCGAGGGUGAACAAUGACUCCUGGCAAGCAUCCAAAUUGCUUGCAGACGCUAGCAGGUCUCAUCUACAACCGCCCCUACCAGCAUCUCUCUCUCUCUCUCUUUUUUAUGAGAAUCAGAUUUUCAUUGCUCCAUUCAAUUGCUCUCCUCUGCCAUUUUUUACAGCUCUUAUCGUUCCCCUGGAAUAUGGCCUUGAGACAGCUCAUCCGUGUCCUUCACUGUGUUAUCUCUUCUAACUUUUAUUAAAACUUCAGCUUUCAUCUGAAGAUAGCUAAUUAAAUCUGGAACAGAUUAUAUGCCUCCCCUUAAAAAGAGCACAAAACUAUUUUCUUCAACCCCAGCAAUGCUUUUUUUCCUUUCCAAAAGGUAAAAUCAAAGGUGUUUAAGAAGUCUCUUUAUUUACAGAGCUAAGAUAUUCAACACGUCAUAUAUGAGUUGAUUUAUAUUAAAGUUGUCUGUGAUAUGACAAAUCUUUGAGCUAUUUCUCAAGAUGAUUAUUUCUCAAUCCUGGUAUAUAUCCUUUAAAUAUCACAGCUAAUACUAUAAGCAUAUUUUCUAUAUAAAGUUGGGUAAUGAGGAGUUAAGUUAUUAGUGCACAUCAAGUGAUUUGUCUUUUUAUUCGUCUUUUUUUUUUAAAGGUUGCCCUCAUUUGAUAAGGAUGAAGAGAAAUUUUUCUUUUCUUCCCCAUACCACAAAUAUUAGUAACUAAAAGUUCUCCCAUGGGAAAUUAUGUGAAAACAUGAAAUUAAUAGCAGUGAUUCAAGUUUAGGACUGAUUCGGUUUUCAAGACAGCUUUAUAUCAACUGAUCAUCAGCACAAGUAGCUCUGUCUGAGUCUACCACAAAUUAUUAAUGAAGGAACUUCCACAAUUGAUAUGAAUACAUUCUUCUCACAUAUGCCGCUGACCCAGUCCCUUUCUGAGGCCGAGGGGCAGUGUACAAUCACCUUUUCUUGCAUAGAUCAGCUAACCAAACCUUCUAGCAAUGACAUCUGAAAGAAUCUAGCCAGCCAUCACACACACACACCCCCUAUGCCCUUUUAAUAAGGGUUAAGCUUCUACUACUGUGAGAAUAUGAUUUAACUAUCCCACCUGAAACUUUCUGGGAUCCUUUUCUUCGCUUCACUGCCUUCAGUAAGAUUUCCUUCAUGGUAACCUUUGUGUUGUCCACCUGAAUAAGGGAGAAUCCAUGAGCAGCAUUUCUGUAGGAAAAGACAAAUAUUAAAUCAUCACCAACAUUCAUCCAGAGAGAUGUUACUGCAAUCUUCACUGUGUUUAAGCAAGUUUUUUUUGUUGUUGUUUGUUUUGUUUUGUUUUUGAAAUGGAGUCUCGCUCUGUCACCCAGGCUGGAGUGCAGUGGUGCAAUCUCGGCUCACUGCAAGAUCCGCCUCCUGGGUUCACACCAUUCUCCUGCCUCAGCCUCCCAAGUAGCUGGGACUACAGGCGCCCGCCACUACAUCCGGCUAAUUUUUUGUAUUUUUUUUUUUUUUUAGUAGAGACAGGGUUUCACCAUGUUAGCCAGGAUGGUCUCGAUCUAUUGACCUCGUGAUCUGCCCGCCUCGGCCUCCCAAAGUGCUGGGAUUACAGGCAUGAGCCACCGCGCCCGGCCGUGUUUAAGCAAGUUUUAAAAAUACAUAAAUCCAUUGUGGCACAAUGUAAUAUGUAUCACCAUGCUACACCUGCGGACGCUUCCGAGCGGCUGCCAUGUCUGUGCAGUCAGGAAUGAUAAGUGAACCACCCGUGAAUGUUAACGAUAGUGAUCAUUCUGAGACCACAAGGCAAUAGCAUAUAACAGAAGGAAAGGCUUCAAGCUAAUGACACCCUUUAAUAAAGGUCUGGUCACUUGGGGUAUACUGUGGAUUUAUCAUCAAGAAGAAAAAGUUUGCUGAGCUAGAAGCGGUGGCUGAAGCCUAUAAUCCCAGCACUUUGGGAAGCUGAGGUCAGCAGAUCACUUGAGUCCAGGAGUUUGAGACCAGCCUGGGCAACACAGCAACACUCUAUCUCUACAAAAAAUACAAAAAGUAUUUGGGCAUGGUGGUGCAUGCCUGUAGUCCCAGCUACUUGGGAGGCUGAGGUGGGACGAUUGCUCGAGCCUGGGAGGCAGAGGUUGCAGUGAGCCAAGAUGAUGUCACUGCACUCCAGCCUGGGUGACAGAGCAAUACCCUAUCUCAAAAAAAAAGUUUGCCAACCCUAGGAUAACGUGGCGAGAUUUGGGGGGUUAUGUGUUCCAGCAGCUAGAGUUAUUUAACAUAACUAACAAACUUAGUAAAAGUCAAAUGGCAUUACUGCAAGCUGCAUACAGAACUUGUUUGCUGAACAGAGAAAAAUGGUGACAGAAUUCAGUGGGCACAAAGAUCUCUAUGAACAGUCUUGCUGGUCUCUGAAAAAUCUGUGCUGUUUGGUGCCAAGUCACACUAUACACAAGUAUCAGUCAGGCAGAGCCCACUUAUGUAUAGACCAAGCAACAGAUAAAGUAGAGUGACCAAUCUGGUUUACCUAGGAUGGAGGAAGGGGUUGGAGGUGAGCAUCAGGGAGUGCUCAUAGAUUCAGGACUUUCAGUUUUGAAACAGGGAGAGUCCUGGACAAACCAUCACAAACUGAUCAUACUAACAGAAAGCGUGGUGGGCCAAACGUAAAGUAGAGUUUUCUAGGUUAGGAGCGGUGGCUCAUGCCUGUAAUCCUAACACUUUGGGAGGCCGAGGCAGGAGGACUGCUUGAGCUCAGGAGUUCAGGACCAGCCUGGGCAACACAGUGAGACCUUGUCUCUACUAAAAAUAGAGUUAGUUGGGCAUGGUGACACAUGCCUGUAGUUCCAGCUACUUGGGAGGCUGAGGCAGGAGGGUCCUUUGAGCCCAGGAGUUUGGGGCUGCAGUGAGCCAUGAUCACAUCACUGCACUCCAGACUAGGCCACACAGCAAGACACUUAUCAAAAAAAAAAAAAAAAAAAAAAAGCAUUUUCUAGUAAAGAACAUUUAAAAUUUAUGUGUUUGUGUGGGGGGACACAUUAUAAAUCAAUUGGCCCACUAAAAUAAUGGACGAGUAGUUAAAAAUACACUGUUUAAAAGGAUGUUAAUCGUGAUGUCUCAUAUGAAAAUCAAAAGACUCAAGUUGACAAGUAAAACAUUUAACACCCAAUUAAACCCAACAUCAGCAAUGUUUAAUUUCAGCAAAACAUCAUCUGUUACAUUAAAGUUGUUAAUUUGUAUUUUAUUAACGUUAUAAUUUUAUCUGUAUUUAGUUUGUAAUUUUGUUUAGGUUGUGUAAAAACACUGAAUUUAUAGCUAAACAUUACAGAACUUUGUAUUUGCAUGUAUCUAAGUAGCAUUAUUAAAAAACUCAUUUGGAUAAACAUUGAGACUUUAGGAGAAUUUAUUUCCCUUUAAAAGAGUUCUGUACAUAACUUACAUUUAAGAAACUCCCUCAUGACAAUUCCAUGAGAUAGUUACUGUUACCCAAAUUUUAAAGAUGAAGAAACUGAGACUUAACAAAGGUAAGUAAAAUUGUCUAAGGUCAUGCAUGUAGCAAGAUACUAUUGAAGCUGAAACAUGAACCCAGGUUUGCCUAAAUUCAAAGUCUGUGCUGCCGCACUUAGAGGGAAAGAUGGUACUGGAGCCCCGGGAAUAGCCGGUGUGAGGGCCUCUAAAGGUCAGAAGGCGACAUGGGCUUCCUGGUAUUUGAAAGGCAGGAACGGGUGUAAAAAAGGGGAAGAGGUCUUAGAAAGCAAGGUGGGACACACUGCUGGGUCAGGUGUCCUCCUGGCAGCCCACAGACACCUGAAGUUUCAGUCAUUCCUUCUCCAUGAAGCCCUGUGCUGGGUGCUCAGGAUACAGAGAGACAAUAAGACUGUGCCUUCCUAGUCUUCAAGAAGUUAAUGGUCUUGCUACUAACUCAGAGGAUGUGUGCUCAUAAGAGGACUCAUUUGAAAGUAUGUAGAUCCUCGAUGUUUACCCACUGCCCAUGUUCACUGAAAGUUAUUCCAAUUCAGCUUUUUCAGUCCAGCUGAGCAAUGUCCACCUAAACACUACCCCUCCUCUGCUAUAAAACAAAGUCGGAGAAGAAAAAUGUAGAAGUGGCAGAGAUCUACUCAGUAACCCAUUCAAGAAAUACGUGUGACAGAUCUAUCACAGUAAUGGAGUGAUGGUGAGUAUUGUGGGCACAGAUAAUUCAGUUCUUGCUCUCCAAGGGUUGUUUAUUAAUAGUAACAAUAACAGCAGCUAACACUAAGAUGAUGCGUACAUAUGCUAAACACUGUUCUAAGUGCUUCAGAUCUAUUAACUCAUUUAAUCCUCAUAACUGAUCUGUGAGGUAGGUAUUAUUAUCUCCAUUUCACUGAGCCACAGAAAAGUUAAAUAUUCAUCCAGGACCACACACACUAGUAAGGGCAAGGCUAGGAUCGGCAUCCAAGCGAUCUGGCUCACAGCCCACCAUGCUGUCACCUACUGCACUAUAGCAGUGGCUGAAUGUCAGCCUUAAGACAGUGAGAUUCACAGGUUAAACCAACACCAGAUUCCCCAGCCUCAAUCUUUCAGCAGAGGGUUGGAAAGGGCAUGGACUUUAAAGUCAGGGAUGGCGUCAAAUCCAGGCCUAAGAACAAUAUUGCUCACCCUCAGGUUCCACGCCUCUAAAUUGUUCAUAAAAACUGGGCUAUUUUGGGAUUAAGUGAGAUAGCAUAUGCAUAGUUGGCCCUUAGUAAGUAUUAGUUCACUCCCUAUGUCAAACCUACUUGCCUCUUUCUGUUUCAGCUUAGUGUCUUCCCAGCCACUUCUUGUCCCUCCUCUACUGGGAGACAAAUGGAAGGAGGAAAGGGGGGAAAUGACGAGGAGGAGUAGUUACGGCUUUAUUUAUUUUGCUGGGAUUUCCUUCUCUGAAACUUUAGACACAUCCCUACAGACUCCUGAAGGUCUGCUCUGUUCUGCAUCUGUAGGAGAAGCUUUACUAACUUAGAAUAUAGACCAGAAAGGCGAGUAAGAGGUUGCUGAACCAAGAAAAUACACACAGGGCAAACGGUCAGUAAUCUGUACUAUUUCAUCAGACGACUGAGAAAAAGAAAAUUUAUUGACACUUUUGUUCUUAAUGCUCACAUAUAAAGAUUUCACUUUACCUCGUGUUUUCAGAAACACUCCAGACACAUCAAAUAAACUCUCUUGAAUUUUAAAAUAGAAAAAGGAUUGACUGGGCUAUGUGUGUGUCUGGGAGUGGGAACACAGGGAUGGGAGUAAUUCAGGAUCAAAAAACAGAGUAUUAAGUUUAAAGCAGUUGUUACUCUCUGCCUUCCCCCUCCUUCCUAUUCUCCAGAAGGCAGGGUUCAUAGUGAAACACUGUGUAGUCUUAGAUGCCCCUCCUGGAAAGGCAUAUGAAUCCUAGCCCCACUCCACUCUACUGAAAACUCAGUGAUUUAAAGCCUCUUGCUUUAAAAAAGGACUUCUGGUUCAAAAGACUGCUAUGAUCAUGUGUUAACAUUCAUGUAGAAAAAGUUCUAGUCAUAUUAAUAAUCAAUAAAAAUGCAAGUAAAAACUAUCGAAAUGCCACUGUGUAUAUCUUUUAGAGUAGAAAAAAAAACUUCUAAUACCUUGUAAUGGUAAAACUAUAAAAAUGAUUUUAGGAAUUCUGUUGGUAACAUUGUAAAUUAGGACAUCUUUCAGAGGGCUAUUGUCAAUAAAAAGUGAGUCUAAAGAUGUUUUUACUCUGACCAAUAAUCCUACUUACAAGGCAUGAUCCUAAGGAAGUUGUUCAACAGAAUAAAAGGUAUAUAGAUAAUGACCAUCAUCAUCAAAUUACUUAUUAAAACCACACAAGGAAGCAAUCUAAAUAUUCUGUGAUCGGCUUCCACUACAACCCAUACACUUUUCUUUUAUACUGCUUAUCACAUUUUAAUUAUUUGACAACUGUCUCACUACUAGAUAGUAAGCUCCAUGAGGGUAGUGCUGUCUCUGCCUAGAUCUCUGGCACAUAAAUACAGACUGUAGGAAUUAAGAACAAAUACUGAAACGUUUAUAAUUUAUUAUUUUUAGAUGGAGUCUCACUUUGUCGCCCAGGCUGGAGUGCAAUGGCGCGAUCUCAGCUAACUGCUACCUCCGCCUCCCGGGUUCCAGCGAUUCUCCUGCCUCAGACUCCCGAGUAGCUGGGAUUACAGGUGCCCACCACUGCAUCCGGUUAAUUUUUGUAUUUUUAGUAGAGACGGGGUUUCACCAUGUUGGCCAAGCUGGUUUCGAACUCUUGACCCUCCUCGGCCUCCCAAAUCCUGGCCUGCCUCGGUCUCCCAAAGUGCUGGGAUUACAGGCGUGAGCCACUGCGCCUGACCUAAUUUAAUGUCAAGUAAAAAUAACACAAAAAUAUGUGUGCUACAAGUGAAACUGAGUAACAUAUACACACGAUUAUUAUACAAGAUUAAAAAUAGUUAAGAUGGAGGCAUCAUUGGCCAACUUUUCAAUUAUUUUAAAUAUCCUUUAAAGUUAUUUUAGUACCUCUGAAAUGAAAAAGCAGGAAAAAAUUUGCUGUUAUUUACACCAAACUUGACCUUGUAGUAGGGAUGAAACGGCCACCAUGAAAGCCUGAGGGCCCACUCCCCAGCUUACCCCCAGGUACUCAGUUAUUCUUUCUUUGCUCAAGGGUAGAAAGAGCCAAAAUACUCAUAUAUCAUAUGUAGCAUAACCCUAUUUUCUGUAACAAUCUCAAACAAAGGCAGUAUGUUGAGAGAGACAGGGAAAUGUCUUCUAAAGCAAUCCCUUUUGAGCAGUGAAUUUGCUGGUUACUAACAGCAGGGGGUGCCAAAGGGAUCGCUAUUGUUCCCAGGAGACAGCCAUGAGAAGGACUGCUGAGGCCUAGGUUGAAAAAAAGCUUAGGUUUGAGAGUAAAAUCCAAAUGCAGCAGGUUUUCCCUUAACAACUGGGACAUGUGGAUAAAACUCAGGAGCUCAUAAACUUGAAUGGAUAAAAACUACAUUUUAAUUUUCACUAACUUCUAAUAUUUUGCAUUUCCUUGAUUUAUAAGUGUAGGCAAACAAUCACAGCAGAAUCACAGUGCCAGUGACUCUGUCAUGAACAGAAGUCAUAGCUAACACUACAGCACAUUACAGCUGUUGCAGAUUUCUCAAAUACCAUUUAUGCUCAUCACCGCUUUGAAACAACAGGCUUCAGGAGUUACUGUUAGGUAUACAGCUGGAUAUUGUUUAAUCUACUAGUAAAGCCACACAUAUUACUAUAUCAUGAAUUUGUUCAAUAAUCUGAUAACUUUAAAUAACAGAAUACUUUUAUAUUCCAG
rnacentral:lncRNA from 1 species